rnacentral:lncRNA from 1 species
GUUUAUUUUCACUAGCUCAGGAUGGGCUGACACAGUAUGUAUGCCGGGGAAGCGAGCACGGCUCCUGGAAGGGGACUCGAAAAUCUGUCAUUCUCGCCAAGAACAAGGUGCUAGGCAUCUGUUUUUGGGCUCCACUUGCCAGGCCUGAGGAAGGCGGAAAAAAUGUUGGGAUUCCACCUGGCACCUCGAGGAGCCAGCGCUGAACCGAAGCCGGAGGCAGAGGCACCUCUGGGGAGUGAGUCGACGGGCCCCCGAGGCGGCAUGACACUGGCCAUGGUGCUGCUGGAGAUGGCCAACAUGCCACUUGGGCACAAACCUUCACACAACUUUAGAGCUUAGAAAGCUUCUCCUCCCCAUGUCAGUGUGGGAGGACUCGGUAGAGAGCCUGAGAAUCUGGUCCAAGGUCAGGCUCCAGUCCUCUUGAGCUGUGAGAUGCUGGGCAAGUCCUCAACACCCUGGUCCUCGGUUCGCUCCUUUUUGCAAUGGGGAGAAUGGGGCCUGCCUUGCCUGCUAUGUGAUUGAAUGAGAAAGUGUGUGCAUAAAUAUUUUAAGGUAUUCAGCUCUGCACAAAUAUAUUUUGCAGAGCUCUGAUUUUUUGGGAGAGGAAACAGAAUAUCAGAGAGAGUCAAUGGCUCAUGUGAGAUCCCAGAUCAGGCCUGGGUCUCUCAACCCCCUGUCAUGAGCUCUUUCUAGCAAUGUAUUCCUUUGGAUUCAACAUUGUGUCUGGAAAGGCAGGGCACUGUCUAAAUGUGCAAUGUACAACUCUAGGUGGAUGAGGAGGGCUGUUCACGUGGCCCAUGCCGUGGAUGAGACCUACCAGGGUGGUGCAGAGCACAGCCUGCACAGCUGGACAGAGAGGCCCUGCUGAAGGCCGCAGCCCGCCAGGUUUUCUCCUAACGGACGUCGUAUUUUCACAAGGAUCAAAUGCUGAAGAGAUGAAGUUCCAACGGUGGAGAUUCAAGAGUGGAGAGCAGAAGUGGGGCUGCAGAGCUACCCAGAUCCCAGGAAAAACUACACGUGAGAAAAGGGGACUGACAGCUUGUAGAAGGCCGACCAGGUGUCAGACCCUUGAAUGUACUCUUUACACAGAUUGACUCUGAUUCUCACAACUGUCAAGGUCAUGCGGUUCUCAAAUGACCCAGAGAGGAUCAGAAAGCCAGCUUGUAUGACGCUGAGCCAGGCUAAUUUCACGGUGCCAUUCCCUCCUCAUCCCAUGCCCAUCAUCAAGCAAAGGGGCCAUCCAGGAAGGUGACUUUGUCACCUGGUAAAGGAACCAGUGCUUUGCUGGAUCACAGCAGAAUCCCUUGCUCUCCCCUGGAGUUGUCCCAGCUGUGGUGCCAGCAUUGGUUCCAGGGACAGGGCUUUUUAUUUAAAUGGCCCGCAUAGGCUGCCGUCUCCCUCCACUCUGUCGGCUCUUUGGGAGCUGGACAACACAUCUCUUAUUUUUGUCUCUCUCAAAACUCUUAGCCGGGUAAUUAUUUUUGGAAUUGAAAUACUUGCUUAAACCCUCAAAUAAUGUAAGGCAGUAUAUGAUUGUGCCAAACCUACACUAAAUAUAGUACAUAAGCAUC